AUGUCGUAUUCAGUUUCUAGCGGCACUAGGUUCAUUUUUUAACAACUCAGAAACAUCUUUUUGAUUGUUGCCUAAAGUCGAUUUUGAAACAUUCUUCCUGUUACAAGUUUCAAAAUCUGUCCACCAAUAAAGUUUUUUGUAUUUUUUGACAAUUGCGCACACAAUAGAAAGCAAAAGCUGCAAAACGAUAGCGAACAGGCUAUUUUGGAAAGUUGUAUUGUAAUUCUCUCUCAGGUCUCUCAUCCUACAUGUCUGCACUUUGCUAGGAAAUGAUCGAGCCACCUAUGUUGCCCCAUGGAAUCUCAUGUUGACCCCUUAGGCUAUAGUGGCCACUUAUCCAACUUCUUAAUCUAACUGAAAGCAUCUCCCUUGCCCUUUUUCCUCUUUCAUAUACUUAAAAGGUCCACUUAUAUGUUUGAUGCCUCCCUUUUAAUUACUUUUGCCAAUUUCACAAGAAGUGAGGCUGGAAGCUCAGGCAUCCACGUUUCUAUGCACGCGCGUUCAUCUGCCUUCAAAUUCUAGAUGUAUGUGCUUUUUGCUUAUGAAACAUGUGAAUCUAAGAGUACUAUGUUUGAAGGUGGAUGGGGGCAACACUUAUUGAUUUCUUUAUCAAUGUUGUGGCGCUAUCGGUUACUUCAUCCUUCCAAUUCUAUUGCUAGUUUAAAAUUAUUGACUAAUUUUAAUUUGUAACGGAAUCAACAGCAAGAAAACUCUUGGCCAUAAUUUUCAGAUCAAGUGCAAUAAAACCGAAAUGACUUUCUUAAAUAUAUGUUGAAUUGUCUUAGUUUCAGAGGAUAGGUUGAUAGUUUGAUAUGGCCUUUGCCUUGCUUUUUUAAUUAUUUCCAAGAAGCAGGACAACAAAAAGUUCUCUUAGAAAUAUCUUUGCUCGUUUAUCAAAAUCAGUGCAUUACAUUUAUUGAACAUAUCAACAUAGUGUGUUGCAUAGAUUCUUUGAUGAUCAAUUGCAUCCAUGUUUCGUGACAUCGGAAGAUCCAUGAAGUUAACACAAAAAGAAAAACCUAUAUUCAAUCUCUGUAAAUCUGUAGCAUUUGAUUCAAGUAUUCAUGUUUUUAAAUGUGUUCGACCUUUUUGAGGAGCCAGCGAGAGGUGUAUUCAUCCACUCCUUUAUCAUGAGACGUGUCUGAGUUUAUUGAUUUACAUACGUUAUUUUGUUGGUUUUGCAUGUUUUAUCAGGUUUGGGUGGCAUACUAAGAAUCAAGUUGGCUAAAUGCUUUCAUUUUGAUUGUUUUAUUGAUAUACUAUGGUAGGAAAAUAAUUGGAGCUAGAUACUUUCUAAAGGGAUAUGAGGCAUAUUAUGGACCUCUAAAUAACACACAGGAUUAUCGGUCACCCCGAGAGAAACCACAAGGUACGUAUAUAUCGAAUUUGAUUCCUGGUGUCUAAUUUUUCUUCCCUGAUCCAUACAUAGGGGCAGACGGUGACUCCAUUUAAGCUGGGCAAGAUGUACCCACUAGUUUAUGCCGAAAACUCAGAAAUUCCCAGUACAACCCCCAAAGACAAGACCGGGCUAUGCCUCCAUGGAACUCUCUCCCCAGCUCUCGUCGAAGGAAAAAUUGUCGUGUGCCUAAGUGGGUAUUCCUUCAAUGUUGAGAAGGGUUUGGAGGUGAAACAUGCUGGUGGGAUUGGUUUCGUUCUGCAAAAUCCUGUGAAUGGCAUAGGGAUAUCCGUUGAUGAUCAUGUGCUUCCCGGAACAGCAGUGUUUUCUAACGAUUCAGUCACCAUUCUCGACUAUAUUAGAGCUAGUAAUAGUCCAACGGCGAUGUUGAUCCCACCGGAAACUGUCUUGGGCAGUAGACCAGCACCGUUCAUGGCAGCGUUCUCUUCCAUGGGUCCGAAUGGCCUCCAACCUAAUAUACUCAAGGGAAAUUAGGUGUUGAAUUUGGUGCAUAGAAGUUGGAACUGUUAUUUCGGGAGUCUAAAGGUCUUCAAGUAGAAGGAGAAGAUCGAUGCCAAUCAAAGAAAAAAGAGAGAAGAUCAUUGCUUUGUCAUAUGAAGAUGGAGAUUGUGAUCUAGCUACCGCGGGUUGAAACUUAGUUGAACCAAUUUUCUUUUGACACUUCCUUUUCUCUUCUUUGUUUUUCUAUGAGAGAGGUGGGCUAUGUGGAUGUUUAUAUCUUUUUGCAUUUGGAAGCUACUGGUUUUUUUCCAAUGUUAACAUAAUAUACUUCAAUUCGGAUGCAAUACUAUUAUUUCCA